UACGUAGGUGGCAAGCGUUAUCCGGAUUUAUUGGGCGUAAAGCGAGCGCAGGCGGUCUUUUAAGUCUAAUGUGAAAGCCUUCGGCUCAACCGAAGAAGUGCAUUGGAAACUGGGAGACUUGAGUGCAGAAGAGGACAGUGGAACUCCAUGUGUAGCGGUGAAAUGCGUAGAUAUAUGGAAGAACACCAGUGGCGAAGGCGGCUGUCUGGUCUGCAACUGACGCUGAGGCUCGAAAGCAUGGGUAGCGAACAGG
rnacentral:rRNA from 1 species